GUCAGGCUUCCCUCGCUCUUUCCCCCAGCUGGGCUAUUUGAUUCAGUGGAGGCAUUUUCUCCUGGAAAAGGAUAGAGUGUAUGGGAUCAAAAAUCUAAGACGUCGGAUCUUAAAACACAAUAAAGAAAAACGGCGAAAGCUUCCAGUUGCCGUUGCAUCUCAUCUAGCUGGCUCACAUACUGAUCACACCUGGGGGCAGAAAAUGGAGGCAACAGGUUCAGGCUCAUUUCCUGCCUCACUAAACAGACCCUGCUUCUAACCUGCUAGCAAACAUGGCACGUAGGGAAGAGAAACUAGCAGCAUCCUCCUUCAAGGCCUUGAGCUCAUGACGCAACUUGAUCAUGGUCUCUGACACC